ACCUCCUAGGGGAGGGAGCAGAGCCUUUAGUUUGGUGGGGACCCAGGGACCUUGUCCAGUCCUGCUGGGCUCUGAGCCAGGCUCUCAGGGACGCGGGUGCCCUAUGAUCCCAAGUCCUGAAGCUUCUGAGGCACGUACAGGCAGCACCGCAGCUAGUGGAAGGGGGCCGGCACUGGCAUCUAAAGCCAGAGGGUGCUAGUGGGAUUCUGCACAGCAAAAGGGCGAGGAAGGUGCCAUCUGCUCCCCUCCAAUGCCCCAGCAGCCCCUGCCCUGACCCAGCUCUGUGGUGUCUGCUCCCUGAUCGGGCUGCCCUACUGCCUUCCCCCUUGUCCAGUCCUCUGCUCCUCUUGAGCUGUGGGCCAUCUCACCUUUUCCCUUGGCCUCUCAGCUCUCCUCCACACCACAGCCCUGUGACUUUCUGUCAGGGUCCACAGAACAAGGCCCUUGGUAUUCUUACCUGGUGUUUGAAGUCCCACAGAAGCCUAAGAGAUGGUGUGUCCCUCAGGUGCUCAUCCCCACCCAUCAGGCCAUUUACUCCCUUGGCCCGGUUUCCCUUCUGUCUCCAUUAAACAGUGUGCAGGCUUCACAUGCCACCACCUCCAGGAAGCCUUCCCUGAUUUUCCACCCUAUAGCACCCCACUAGGCUCUGAGCUCCUAAGACAGGCAGCAUCUGGUCAGCUGGGAGCUUCUGAUAGGAGAGCAGCUCCAGUGAGAGCGAGAAGGACACGUUCACCUGAACGGAUGUGCAUGAGCCAUCACCUCAGGCUGCUGGGGUGGGCGGCAGCUUCCCCACCCAGUUCUGUCCUUCCCUGCACAGACCCUCCAGGCCCAGCAAGGUCCCAGCUCAGCCCGCAGGGCCCAAGCGGACCCAGCCCUGCCCAGCAAACAGCCCAGCAGCACCCCCAACCGCCCUGCCUGGCGCAUUCACGCCCUAACACUGGCUGUGCCCGCCCUCAGGAGCUGAGGGGCCAGAGGGACAGAUGACAAGCAAGCUGCCCUCCCUCUUUUAUGACCAGGCCUGUGGGCAGGCCUGUAGGCCCAGGUCAGGCCCCUCUCUGUUCUGAGGACAGGGAGGAGCCUUUGCAGGGAUUUAAGCAGGGGACGCAGAGUUGCUUUGCCUUCCUCAGGGUCACCCUGGCUGCUCAAGGGAGUUUGGGAGCCAAAGUGUAAAUUAGGCCCAGCGGGAUGGGGCUUAGACAUGUGGCUCCCUAACUCAGUUCUGUGGACCUACCUCCACAAAUUUACCCAAGGCUCCUGUUAGGAAUACAGGUUCCUGGGCCUCAACCCAGACCUUCACCUCUCUGGAGGUAGCACCUGGGAACCUGUGUUUCUAACAAGCUUUCUAAAGGCCACUGACAUGUUGCCAUGCUUGGAACCCCAUGUCUUAGACCAAGACCCGGGUGCGGGGAGAAGGGAGACGCGCUGAGAGACUGAGGAGGGGGCAACAGCAGGGCUCGUGGCUGGCUGGUUGGGGAGAGGACGGCCUAGAAGGAGGGGUUCCUGAGCUCUGGCCUGAGGAAGGGGUGGGGGGCGUGGUGGUUGCUGAGAUAAAAGGCCGCCACUAACAGGAGGCACAGGUGUGGGCAGGAAUUGAGUUUGCGACAGAAUUCUGAUCAGGAGCCAGAGGCCCGGCAGUGUCAGCACUGGAGGGUGAGAUGUGGAGUGCUUCCGGGAUGUCCUUUCUCCGGGGAUCUUGGGGCUCCCUGAGGCAUUUUUUAAAGGAUUUUAAAAUAACUACUGGUAACUAACCCUGUAGUCUCAUGGGUGCUCUGGUGGAAUGGGACCUCUGGCUGUGCCCUGGGGCUACCUCUCCGUUUACCUCCGAGGAGGGGAGCAAAUGCUGAGUGGGUCAGGGGUGCCCUGCUGCAGGUCUGUCUCCCCUACCUCCAUGAUGGGAUCUCUGGAGAAGCUGCAUCACCAAGCACAGCGCUUAGGACGUGGCAGGGACCCAGUACCUCUGCACUGAAGAAUCCCUUUUGACAGAAGUGGACGGAUGAGCCAGGAGUGUGCAGAGGGAGGCCGGGCCGGCGGGGGCUCUAAGAAGGCCCUCAGAAGGGAGGAGGGAAGCGGGGGGGCACCCAAACCCAAGGAGGCAGAUGCUCACAGCUACCCAGAGGCCCUGGCAUUCCCAGGACUCCCACCUCGAACGCUGCAAAUCCCAGAUCCUCUUAUGGAUGCCCCAUCAGAAGAGGGAACACCACUUCGGGAUCUGGUGUGCCUUAUGUCUGCAGAAGGACGGUGCUCCUACCCUGGGUGAGGGCACGUGAGAAGGGAGGGUGUGUGCAACAUGGCGGUGCCCGUGGGACCAGGACGCUGGCCAAGGGGACAGAGAGGGGGCUGGUGUGUCCAUGCUCAUACAUCUGGCUGUAGCUGCGUGUGUGGGCCUCGUGUGCAGGGGGCCAGUUGUUUGCUGGACACGGUGCGCCCUGAUGCACAGGGCGUGGUGGGUCAGAGUGCAGCUUGCGUCUGGACGUCAGUGCCUGUGUCUGCGUACAGACCUGCGCGGGGGCCGUGGAGGUGCGCUGCCUGAACACACAGGUGCGCGUCAGUGGGGGGAAGGUGACCUCUGCCCACUGAUCACAGAACCAUUCACUGACCAGCAUGUUCUCCUGCGGGAAGAGCACCAGCUGGGGGCCCGCUGCCUCCGUCUCCUCGCACUCCUGCUUCCAGCCGGGCCCAGGAGGCCUGCGGCUGCGGCUCGCCCCAUCUUGAGAAACGGAGAAGGGCUUGGAGACCAGGAGCCGGAAGUAGUGUGAGAUGUCCGUGGUGUUGGUCAGCUUCAGGUGGUGCGUGGUCACCAGCUCACUCAGCACCUGGGCAGCCGCAGAGCAAGCUUUAGGACAAAUGGUCCAUCAGUGCCUCCCCCGCCCAGUUCUCACCCACCCCCAGCUCACAGCCUGGCUCUGCCUGACCUCCCUUGAUACGGCCCCCAGCACGCUGGCCAGCCCUGGAGUCUCACUGAAUGCACUCAACACCCCACCCAUCAGAACAGAGCCUCUCCACAUGGCCCCUGUUGUCCUGCCACCUCUGUAUCCCCAGCUCCUACACAGCACCUGUGCUAAGAAGAAAAGGAGCCCUGGUACGAAGAUAUUGGUUCACAUAUCCACUUCUUUCCUUGGGGCAACUUUCAACGUGUGUCCCCAGCAAAGUGCAGAAGUGCCUCUGGAGCACACAUACCCCAGCCGGCCCCACCAGGCACGGAGCACCCUUUCCCUGCACUUUCACUGACAACUUUUCAACCUUGUUCAUCUCAUGAAAACUAGUGUUUCAGUGUGACUUUUAAUUCCACUUCUUUAAUUACCAGUGAUGGUGACCUAUUUUUCAUGUUCACUGGCCAUCUGUAUUUGUCAUUCUACAAUUGCCCAUUCAAACCUUUUGCCCACUUGGGAUGCUUUUGCCCCUCUUAUUGUUAGUUAAGAACUCUUUGUAUAUUAAGGUGAACAAUCCUUUGUCAUUGGGUAUAGCACAAUUUAAAGCAAACAUCUACCAUAUUUAAUGUAACUAACCUGUUCAGUUUACUAAAUAGUUCACAAAAACCUCUAUGCAAUAACUAAAUAGUGUUGGACGUUGUACACGUUUCACGUUUAGUGUGGAUACUAAAACUAAGAGCUCUCUACUUAUA